AGACUUAUCUGCAUUUUCCUGCGUCCACGUCAUCUUUGGAGGGGUGGGCAUUUCGUGACACAUGUCGCAUUUUCAGUGGAUUAAUAUUUUCCAUACGCGCGUCUGGUUUCUAAUCCGGAUGAGGGCCCAAGCCCAUCACAAAAUAAGCAACAUACCGUCACUUCGUCUUCCUCAUCUGGUGAGGUCUCCGAUGAGGUCCCGAGACUUCGAGCGGCGACGUAAACCUUGUCUCCUCCUGCUAUGAUGAGCACACCUCACACGAGUCAGCUUCUAAUUCUUCACCAAAUCUUCUUCCUCUCCACCAACAAGGUUUUCAGAAGAAGACACAAGCGAAUGAUUUUGAAGAUAUCAGUGAGAUUAUUAAAGCACUUACCACCUUGAAGGACGAAAGGAUUCUGGAAAAUCAACUUUGCUCUAGCUCUCGCAGUUAAAAGUUUAAAGGUUCUGCUUAUUUCUCUGAAAGCUGGAGGAGUUGGUCUUAAUCUGACUGCAGCUUUAGACGUCUUCUGAAUGGAUCCAUGGUGGACUCCAGCUAUGGAAGAGGAAGCAAUAAUGAGAAUCCAUCGCAUACGGCAUAAAAGAAUUAGGAUUUGGAGAAAGAAACAUUGAAAUGGUGCAGAGAAAUCACAUGGAACAUCCCAACAGUAAUUUGUGUGCUUGAAGCAGGACUGCCCUCGGUGAUGGGAAUGGCAGACUUCAAGGGCUAAGACGCCAAGAUGAGACACUCUUAUUCUAUGGAACCGGAGAAGCUAUUGAAGGUGUCUUUAAGGUGUCUUGCUUCUUUUCCAUGUGGAACAGUCCCUGUCACUGCAGAAGAAGAGCCACCACCAGAUCUUUCCUGUGAUGGUGCUGCCAAAAAAUCUGUCUUUCCGUGUGUUUUUCGACUGGGUUGAUGUGGCAGUUACAGAAUCAGGCUGAGAAUGAGUGAUCAUUUAACUCCGACCAGUUUGCUGCUGAUCUGUGUAAGAUGAUGCAUAGGAGCAGGCAUGAUCUUGCCAUAUAGCCCUCCUUUACAAGUGUGGUACCCCUUGAAUCUGGAUUAUCUCUUUCAACUCUGGCUUUAGACUUUUGAGCUAUUAGCUUGGCUUGAGACGCUUUUCACCAGCAACUUGAUGAUGCCUUUGUUUCUCUUAAACAAUUUCAUGCAACCUCUAUAAGAUUUUGAUUCAUUUUCUGUGUUA